AUUGCUUCUCGGCCUUUUGGCUAAGAUCAAGUGUAGUAUCUGUUCUUAUCAGUUUAAUAUCUGAUAUGUCCCCUGUCCGCGGACCAUAUAUUAGUUGACUUUUGGACAAAGGAGAUGGUAUAGGAGCUUGCUCUGACCACUCCACGCAUCGGCCUGGUAUUGCAGUACUUCCGGGAAUGGUGCACCCACU
rnacentral:snRNA from 1 species